rnacentral:rRNA from 1 species
UACGUAGGGGGCAAGCGUUAUCCGGAAUUACUGGGUGUAAAGGGAGCGUAGACGGUGAUGCAAGUCUGGAGUGAAAGGCAGGGGCUUAACCCCUGAACUGCUUUGGAAACUGCCAUGCUAGAGUGCUGGAGAGGUAAGUGGAAUUCCUAGUGUAGCGGUGAAAUGCAUAGAUAUCACGCAGAACUCCGAUUGCGAAGGCAGCAUACCGGCGCUCAACUGACGCUCAUGCACGAAAGCGUGGGUAUCGAACAGG